rnacentral:rRNA from 1 species
CCUACGGGGUGCAGCAGUGGGGAAUAUUGCACAAUGGACGAGAGUCUGAACCAGCCAAGUAGCGUGAAGGAUGACUGUCCUAUGGGUUGUAAACUUCUUUUAUAUGGGAAUAAAACAGGGUAUGCAUACCCUCUUGUAUGUACCAUAUGAAUAAGGAUCGGCUAACUCCGUGCCAGCAGCCGCGGUAAUACGGAGGAUCCGAGCGUUAUCCGGAUUUAUUGGGUUUAAAGGGAGCGUAGGUGGAUUGUUAAGUCAGUUGUGAAAGUUUGCGGCUCAACCGUAAAAUUGCAAUUGAUACUGGCAGUCUUGAGUACAGUUGAGGUAGGCGGAAUUCGUGGUGUAGCGGUGAAAUGCAUAGAUAUCACGCAGAACCCCGAUUGCGAAGGCAGCAUACCGGUGCACAACUGACGCUCAGGCACGAAAGCGUGGGUAUCGAACAGGAUUAGAUACCCGGGUAGUC